rnacentral:rRNA from 1 species
UGAGGAAUAUUGGACAAUGGGCGCAAGCCUGAUCCAGCCAUGCCGCGUGCGGGAAGAAGGCCUUCGGGCUGUAAACCGCUUUUGUCAGGGAAGAAACGAGUUUCUCUAAUACAGAGACUUAAUGACGGUACCUGAAGAAUAAGCACCGGCUAACUUCGUGCCAGCAGCCGCGGUAAUACGAAGGGUGCAAGCGUUACUCGGAAUUACUGGGCGUAAAGCGUGCGUAGGUGGUGGUUUAAGUCUGCUGUGAAAGCCCUGGGCUCAACCUGGGAACUGCGUUUGUGACUGCAUAACUAGAGUACGGCAGAGGGAGGUGGAAUUCCGCGUGUAGCAGUGAAAUGCGUAGAUAUGCGGAGGAACACCGAUGGCGAAGGCAGCCUCCUGGGCCAGUACUGACGCUCAUGCACGAAAGCGUGGGGAGCAAACA